GCCAAGCGUGGUGGCGUGCGCCUGUAAUCCCAGCUACUCGGGAGGCUGAGGCAGGAGAAUUGCUUGAACCCGGGAGAUGGAGGUUGCAGUGAGCUGAGAUCAUGCCAUUGCACUCCAGCCUGGGUGACAGAGCAAGACCCUGUCUCAA
ensembl:misc_RNA Metazoa_SRP Metazoan signal recognition particle RNA